GACGAACGCUGGCGGCGUGCUUAACACAUGCAAGUCGAACGGACAGACCCUGCUUUUGUUGGUUUCUCGUUUGCCGAACGGGUGUGUAACACGUGAGUAACCUCUCCUUUACUUUGUGAUAACUCCUCGAAACUGCGGCUCUUAUCCGAUAUAAUCUCCUGCUGCAUGUGGGGCGUUGGAAAGUUUCGGCGGUUGUGGAUGGACUCGCGGCUUCUCAGCUUCUUGGUGUGGUAGUGGCUUACCAAGGCUUUGACGGGUAGCCGGCCUGAGAAGGUUACCGGCGACAAUGGGACUGAGAUACGGAGCAGAAUCGUAAGGGACGCAGUAGGGGAGAAUAUUACGGAGUGGGCGGAAGCCUGAUGCAGAAACGUCGGGUGCGGGAUGACGGCCUACGGGUUGUAAACAGAUUUCGAAUGUAACGAAGAGGGAGUGACGGUAAUGGGUAAAGAAGCAACGGCUAACUACGUG
rnacentral:rRNA from 1 species